GACGAACGCUGGCGGCGUGCUUAACACAUGCAAGUCGAACGGAAAGGCCUGCUUUCCCUUGUGGAUUGCGGGUACUCGAGUGGCGAACGGGUGAGUAACACGUGAGUGAUCUGCCCCCAACUUGGGUAUAAGCCUGGGAAACUGGGUCUAAUUCCCGAUAGGACUGCAGGGUGGUGCCUGUGGUGGAAAACGAUUUUCUAGUGGUUGGGGAUGAGCUCGCGGCCUAUCAGCUUGUUGGUGGGGUAAUGGCCUACCAAGGCGGCGACGGGUAGCCGGCCUGAGAGGGUGGACGGACACAUUGGGACUGAGAUACGGCCCAGACUCCUACGGGAGGAAGCAGUGGGGAAUAUUGCACAAUGGGCGGAAGCCUGAUGCAGCGACGCCGCGUGGGGGAUGACGGCCUUCGGGUUGUAAACUCCUUCCGACCGCGAGGAAGCCACCUGGUUGGAAGGGUGGUGACGGUAGUGGUAGAAGAAGCACCGGCUAACUACGUG
rnacentral:rRNA from 1 species